rnacentral:rRNA from 1 species
AACGUAGGAGACAAACGUUAUCCGGAGUUACUGGGCGUAAAGGGCGUGUAGGCGGUUUGUUAAGUUUGGCGUGAAAGCUCUCGGCUAAACCGGGAGAGGUCGUUGGAUACUGGCAAACUAGAGGAUGGUAGAGGCGUGUGGAAUUCCGGGUGUAGUGGUGAAAUGCGUAGAGAUCCGGAGGAACACCAGUGGCGAAGGCGACACGCUGGGCCAUACCUGACGCUAAAGCGCGACAGCAUGGGGAGCAAACGGG